rnacentral:rRNA from 1 species
AGCAGCCGCGGUAAUUCCAGCUCCAAUAGCGUAUAUUAAAGUUGUUGCAGUUAAAAAGCUCGUAGUUGAAUUUCGGGGUCAGCAAGUUGGUCGUGCCACUGGUAUGCACUGGCUUUGCUGAUUCCUCCUUCUUGUAGAACCGUAAUGCCAUUAAGUUGGUGUUGCGGGAAAACAGGACUGUUACUUUGAAAAAAUUAGAGUGUUUAAAGCAGGCUAACGCUUGAAUACAUUAGCAUGGAAUAAUGAAAUAGGACGACGAUCCUAUUUUGUUGGUUUCUAGGAUUGACGUAAUGAUUAAUAGGGAUAGUUGGGGGCAUUAGUAUUCAAUUGUCAGAGGUGAAAUUCUUGGAUUUAUUGAAGACUAACUACUGCGAAAGCAUUUGCCAAGGAUGUUUUCAUUAAUCAAGAACGAAAGUUAGGGGAUCGAAGACGAUCAGAUACCGUCGUAGUCUUAACCAUAAACUAUGCCGACUAGGGAUCGGAUGAUGUUAAUUUUAUAAUGACUCAUUCGGCGCCUUACG